GAGGUUUUAGCUUAAUUAAAGUGUCUAAGUUGCAGUUAGAUGUUGUAAAUUAGAGUUUUACAGGCCUUC
rnacentral:tRNA from 2 species